GACGAACGCUGGCGGCGUGCUUAACACAUGCAAGUCGAACGGAAAGGCCCUGCUUUUGCGGGGUGCUCGAGUGGCGAACGGGUGAGUAACACGUGAGUAACCUGCCCUUGACUUUGGGAUAACUUCAGGAAACUGGGGCUAAUACCGGAUAGGAGCUCCUGCUGCAUGGUGGGGGUUGGAAAGUUUCGGCGGUUGGGGAUGGACUCGCGGCUUAUCAGCUUGUUGGUGGGGUAGUGGCUUACCAAGGCUUUGACGGGUAGCCGGCCUGAGAGGGUGACCGGCCACAUUGGGACUGAGAUACGGCGCAGACUCCUACGGGAGGCAGCAGUGGGGAAUAUUGCACAAUGGGCGGAAGCCUGAUGCAGCAACGCCGCGUGCGGGAUGACGGCCUUCGGGUUGUAAACCGCUUUCGCCUGUGACGAAGCGUGAGUGACGGUAAUGGGUAAAGAAGCACCGGCUAACUACGUG
rnacentral:rRNA from 1 species